UGAGAGCAAGAACAGGUAAUGUCAAUUGCAGUGCCCUCCUUUGAGGUGAUUGGGGUCAUAAGUGGUGCUUGUUCUGGGACCCCUAGUAGUGGUGGCCCACCUCUGGAAUCAGUAAUAACUGCAGUGUUCUGCCCCUGCCACCUGCAAACCAUGCAAGAAGCACCCCGUCCCACUUAGCACACAAGGGAAGUGCUGCAUAGGCUGCUCCUAAUUGCAGGGUCCUAGGAAGUGACAGUGAUCAAGCAUCUGGGUGCUGCUCAGAGCUGGUAUGCUCCCAGAGAUGCAAAAGCAACAACAGGUAGUGUUUGGUUGCAGUGUCCUCCUUUGUCAUGCUCUUGAGGUGUUUAGGGCCGCAAGUGCUGCUUGUUCACGGACCCCUACUGGUGGUGGACCACGCCCACCUCUGGAGUCAGAGAUAACUGCAGUGGUUUGCUCCCAUCACCUGCAGACCAUGCAAGAAGCAUCCUGUCCUGCUUAGUCCGUGCAGCAAGUGCUGAACCAGCUGCUCCUAGUAGCAGGAUCUUGAAAAGUGACAGUGAUCAAGCAUGUGGGCACCGUCUGGGGUGUUUGGCAGUGGUAGCAGCAGGGUGGGUGAGUUCCCAGUGGUUUGAGAGCAUCAACAGGUAGUGUUCGGUCACAAUGCCCUCCUCUGAGGUGCCCUCUGAGGUGAUUGGUAUUGCAAGUGGUACCUGAUCAUGGACCCCUAGUGAUGACGUGCCACGCCAACCUCUGGAGUCAGAGAUUACCAUGGUGCUUUGCCCCUGCCAACUGUAGACUAUGCAAGAAGCACCCUGUCCCACUUAGCCCACAUAGAAGGUGCUGCACCAGCUGCUCCUAAUUGCAGAGUCUUGGGAAGGGACAGUGAUGAAGCAUCUGAGCACUGCCUAGAGCAUUUGCCAGUGGCAGCAGCAGGGCAGGUAUGUUCCUAGGGGAGUGAGAGCAACAAUGGGUGGUAUUCUGUUGCAGUGCACUCUUUUUUUUGGCCACCCCCUGAUGUGACUGGGGCCACAGGUGGAGGCCACUCACAGGCCCCUGGUGGUGGUAGGCCACACCUCCCUCCACUAUCUGUCCCUGCUGCCUAUAAAUCAUGCAAGAAGCACCACAUCAUACUUAGCCCUUCCACUUCCCUUAGCCCUCACAAGAGGUGCCUGGUCACCCAGAGCUGGCACAAGAAGUGCCUGGCCUCCCAUAGACCGAGCAAGUGGCUUCUCGCCACUAGUAACCUGCAGCAGAGUCACCCCACCCUCUGAGAGCCCUUCUGCGUGUGUACAAGGAGAUUCCUAUGGCAGUCGACCCCUCCUCCUCUUGCCCUUCCCAACAAUGGUGCCUUGUUUCUCCUGUGGGCCCAGAUCUCCUCCCUGGUUCCCUAUUCCUUGGUGUUCUACUCCCCAGCCUGUAACACACUGCUCCCCCCUCCAUGGCACAUUGCUCCUUACCCUUUCAGGCUGUCCCCACGCUGCCAACCCUAGUCCUCUCCCCGGAACUGACCUCUGGAGCCUAAGUUUUAGUGCCCAGCCCCUGCCCAAUCAUCUCAAGCUGUGGUAUCUGGGCCAGUGGUACAGAUGAUCUGUGCUCACUCUACUUUGCCCUCCUCGGUCCAUCUGCUGAGCUUUUCUUGGUGACUUUGAGGUCCCUCCAUCUCAGCUGAUCUCCCUGUUGGUAAGGUGGCUUCCCAGGAUGUGGGUUCCUUUUCCCUUUCACAGCUCCCUCUCAGUAAUGCUACUCUCAUCCUGAUUCCUUUUCUCUCUCUCUCUCUUUUUUUCUUUUGUUCUACCCAGUUAUGUCAAGAGUUUCUUGCCCUUUUGGAGGUAUAAGUUCAUCUGCCAGUAUUCAGUAGAUGUUUUGUGUGAGUGGUUUUACAUGUUGAUGUGUUUUUUUGAUGUGUUUGUGGAAGAAGGUAAGCAUGCGACGUCUUCUCCUCCAUCUUGAUCCUUCCCCUCUAUUUUUUAGAAACUUCUUUUCUUUUCUUUUAUUUUUUUUGUCUUUUUGUCUUUUUUUUAGGGCCGCACUGCGGCAUAUGGAGGUUCCCAGGCUAGGGGUCGAAUCGGAGCUGCAGCCGCCGGCCUAUGCCACAGCCACAGCAAUGCCAGAUCCGAGCUGUGUCCACAACCCACAUCACAGCACAUGGUGACACCAGAUCCUCAUGAGCGAGGCCAGGGAUUGAACCUGCAACCUCAUGGUUCCUAGUCAUAUUUGUUUUCACUGCACCAUGAUGGGAAGUCCGAUUUUUUAGAAACUUUUAAAGGCUAUACUCACUUAAGAAUUUAAAAGGAUGAAAAUACCUCUGUAUGAGUUUGCAACUCUAAAUAUAACAAUAAUUUAGGAUGACAUCACUUUCACUUUUAAAUAGAUAAAUUAAGUGAUCUGGUGUAAAAAGCCAGUAAUGUAUUCAGUUACUCUUUGUUGUCAACAAAAAUAGGCUAAAAUUUAUCUGCUGAGAGUUACUUUGGGAGAUUUUAUAACUACUCCAACUAAAGGCAAUAAAGGUUGCCUACACCCAUAAUCAUUGCUAUCUGAAGCCUCUGAGAAUACUUGAGGUUUUUUAUGAGUAAAUAUCAGGAACAUAUUCUCUUGUUAUGACAUUUACUUCACAAGCUUGAAAUUCAAUCAUAAAUAGAUGUAGAUUACUUCAUGUUUGAAUUAAUAUUAUUUAGUCCACACAGGCUAUUAUUAAUUCAUCUAAAAUUUGAUAUCUCAAAAUUAGUACCUUUCAAACUUCUCAAUUACUCUUCUCCUCUUGGCUUGAUACAUGUUCUCAGUCACUAACUCAUGCUUUUUCAAAGUGCCAUUGCAAAAAGUCACUAUAUUUAUGGGAAAAAUCGUCCUAAUAAAAAUUAUUAGAACUUAGGAAUUGCUAUUGAUCUUCAAAGUAAUUUAUGGACAUCAAUUAUUCACUGUCCAAAAACAGGUAACUAAUCCAAUACAACAUUCACUUCCAAGAAUAAUAGGACAGACCUGCAAAGAUUUCAGCCUCGCAUACUUCCUAGUUUUUGAUGGGAAUGGAAAGAAAAACACUUUAUUGAAUCAGAAUUUCUUUCUCUGUCAUUGAGCUGCAACUUCCUACCUUUAUUUAAAGUCACUGUAUUUGUUUGCUUCUCUCCUAAGUUUAACCUGGACAAUAUAAAUAUCUUCUAAGAUAUGCCUUACCAAACUGUAAAGUAUAUGUUUUUGAAAAUAGGAAAAUAGAUUAUACAUUAGAAAUUAACUCAAUGUAGGAAGUUCCCGUCGUGGCGCAGUGGUUAACAAAUCCAACUAGGAACCAUGAGGUUGCGGGUUUGGUCCCUGGCCUCGCUCAGUGGGUUAAUGAUCCGGCGUUGCCAUGAGCUGUGGUGUAGGUUGCUGACGUGGCUCGGAUCCCGUGUUGCUGUGGCUCUGGCGUAGGCCAGAGACUACAGCUCUGAUUAGACCCCUAGCCUGGGAACUUCCAUAUGCCGUGGGAGUGGCCCAAGAAAUAGCAAAAAGACAAAAAAAAAAAAAAAAAAAAGAAAUUAACUCAAUGUAAAUCAAGUACACCUCAAUGAAAUAAAUUUUUAAAAAAGAAAAUAGGAAAAUAAUUCAGCAUUUUUUGAUAUGUCCUCAAAAACUGCUAUAUUCUAUGAAUUUUACUUUAUUUAAAUAAUAUAUUAUUUACCUGGCAAAAUAUGGAUUUAUUUUAGCUUAUUAUUUUAGACUGGUUUAUAAAAGAGAAAUACUUAUUUUUCUGAGGAAAUUAAAAAUUUGCCCCAACAGUUAGCUGUCAGUCAGUCCAAAAAGCAAAACGUGUGUUUUAAAUAUCAUUUUCUUUGCCCAGAACUGUACCAAGCACUAUGAGAAAUAGAAAUAUUAAAAAUAAUAAUAGAUACAAAUAUGGCUUUUUAUAGAAAUUACUAUGUCAAAACAUGAAAGAAAGCCUAAUAGCUACUAUUUAUAAUUUCAAAGAAAUGUUAAUGUUUAAAUGUAGAAAGCAAAUAAUCUACAAAUUUUAAGAUAAUAAAACAAUACAGGUUUUUUAAUAAUCAUUUUUGUUGUUAAUUUAAUUAUUUUAAUAGCUUGUUAUAAAAGUAGACUAGAUUUCCUAGAUCUGUAAUUGCAUUUAUGCACAUAAACAAUAAUCCAUGUAACUCAGAAUUUUGGUAUUCCAGGAAUACAAAUUAAGAUCUUGACAUACAGACUUUAGUCCAUAGACAAAAUCAAAUUUACUAAUUUGGUGAUAAUGAGAUAAAAGAAAUAAAAAUAUUAAAAAAGGUAAAAUGAACACCAGUGAUUUUAAGACUUUUUUGUAUUUAUCAGAAGAUGAAAGUCUUAACUAAUAAUAAAAACUUCAUUUCAUAAAAGAAUGAACAUUGCACCACAAAAAGCCAAAGAAAGAUUUAAUUUCCAAAUAUUUUGUAAAUUAUUUAUUUUAAAAUCUUAGGCUCUCUGAAUUUUUCUCAUUUUUCACUGAACAGUGAAAACAAACAUAGGCUUGCCCUUGGAAACCACUGAAAUACUCCAGCAAUUCUCAGUGGAAUAUGUAGAUGGACCCACUACUUCUAAGGGUUCUUUAUUGUUCAAAAAACAUAUUCUGUUUACCUAUUGUUUUAAUAAUGUACAACUCAAUUAAGAGGGCUCAAUACUAUUAUUUAGGGUCAUGAAAAUAGAGGAAAAAACAGAAAACCUCUGCAGAGUGUUGUGUGGGUUGUAAAAGGUUAUGAGAUCUGUUUUGUAAUAAAAUAGUGACACUGAGCAGCUUGGUGUAGAAUGAUAGGGUUUAAAGGAACUUGGAGGUCAUGUAAUCUCAAUAUCUCAUUUUACAAAUGAAUAAAUUGAUAAGUGUCUCCAUAACUGCAUUUCAAAAGUUUUCAUGG
rnacentral:lncRNA from 1 species